rnacentral:rRNA from 1 species
ACUCGAGUGGCGAACGGGUGAGUAACACGUGGGUGAUCUGCCCUGCACUUCGGGAUAAGCCUGGGAAACUGGGUCUAAUACCGGAUAGGAGCCAUUUUUAGUGUGAUGGUUGGAAAGUUUUUCGGUGUAGGAUGAGCUCGCGGCCUAUCAGCGUGUUGGUGGGGUAAUGGCCUACCAAGGCGGCGACGGGUAGCCGGCCUGAGAGGGUGGACGGCCACAUUGGGACUGAGAUACGGCCCAG